UACGUAGGCAGCAAGCGUUGUUCGGAAUUACUGGGCGUAAAGAGUGUGUAGGCGGUGCUCCAAGUCUGGUGUGAAAUCUCCCGGCUUAACUGGGAGGGUGCAUUAGAAACUGGAAUGCUAGAGGAUGGGAGAGGUAAGCGGAAUUCCUGGUGUAGCGGUGAAAUGCGUAGAUAUCAGGAGGAACACCUGUGGCGAAGGCGGUUCUCUGGGCCUUACCUGACGCUGAGGAGCGAAAGCGUGGGGAGCGAACAGG
rnacentral:rRNA from 1 species